UACGGAGGGUGCGAGCGUUGUCCGGAAUCAUUGGGCGUAAAGGGCGCGUAGGUGGCGGGACAAGCGUGCGGUGAAAGCCUGGGGCUCAACCCCGGGUCGGCCGUGCGAACUGUUUUGCUUGAGCACUGUAGAGGCAGGCGGAAUUCCGGGUGUAGCGGUGGAAUGCGCAGAUAUCAGGAGGAACACCAACGGCGAAGGCAGCUCGCUGGGACGGUACUGACGCUGAGACGCGAAAGCGUGGGGAGCGAACAGG
rnacentral:rRNA from 1 species